rnacentral:lncRNA from 1 species
UUCUGGAUGGACUGCGCCAUGCCCACCACCAGGGUAGAGGGUCCUGGCUGGACAGGGCUUUUCUAAUGCCUCUGGGGCUUCAUGGACGGCAGGAGUCUCCCUCCAAGCCCCAAUUCUAGCAGCCCCCAGCCCAGGUCCACCUACAGCCUCCUGCACGGCAACCUCCACCUCCUGGGUUCAAGCAAUUCUCCCUACCUCAGCCUCCUUACAGGCACCUGCCAUCACGUGAGCCUGGCUAAUUUUUGUAUUCUGACACUGGUUAUGUGACGCUCCUGAUCCACCUGCCUUGGCCUCCCAAAGGGUUGGGAUUACAGGCGUGAGCCACCAUGUCCGUCCCCUGCUGGGGUCUUCUAUCUGCAGGCUCAGGACACCCUGAUCAUCUCAAAACCUCGGACAAGCUGGCUUUCAACUCCUCUUGCCAAUUCUCUGUGCAGACCCGUCCAAGGACCUCUCAUUUAGCCAAGUGGGGAAGCUGAGGCCUCACAUGGGCCAGCCCAUCGCCUCCUGUGGACCCCACUCCCCUCCCAUCCUCCAGCACACACUUGGUGGAGACUACCUGGCCCCCCAACUCACCGAUGUGUUUCCCGUACAUGUGGUAGAAGAAGGAGACACAGUAGAACUUGGCGCUGGCA